GGUUAACCUUGGCUCCGUACUCCAACAUCAGCUUGGCACACUCCAGGCUGCCAGCGGAACAGGCGUUACAGAGAGGAGUGCUGCCGUGGAUGAGUAGUUGAGUCAAAUCCAUUGCUUCACAAACCUCACAAAGCUGGGGAAGGUGAGGCCAUGGAAGUGUAUCCCACCUGAGCGCCAGCCUCCAGCAGCAGCCGGGCACAGUUUGGAUGAGCAUGUA